CGGGUUUAAUGCGGGCUGGAGACCCUUGGAGUUCCUUUGGCGUCUCGAAUCCAGCGCAGCCGUGGUCCGACGGAGAUCCCUGGGAUUCGACCUGUCAGGGAUGGUGCGGCCGGACCCUGCCCUAGAUCAGAAAGUCCCGUGCGUAGCCAGCCUUUUCGGGCAGGGUCUCUGAGGCAGAGGUCUCGAGCCCCCGGCGGGGCGGAGCUCCUAGAAGCGCAGGCUCGGUCACCCACCCUACGCGUCCAGCCCGGCUUUUGGGGCCACCUCUAGGGCCACACUGAUGGUUGGGCCCAGUUUGUGUGUUUCAGAUGAAAAAUUCACAAGGGACAUGAGAUUCAUAUCUCAUGGGGAUCAAACCUCAUGUCAGUGGCACAGGAGGAAUUAGAAGCUGUGUUUCCUUUGAGACCUGAAGAUCCAGUUCUAGGUUUUCCUGCUGCUCCCAAGCUUUGGGCAAAGUAACUACACUUCUCUGAGCCUCAUAAUGGUGAUAAUACUCUUCCCACUUACCUCAUUCAGUUAAUGUAAAGGUCAAAGUCAUACAUGUUUUCUCAGUCAUUUAUUAACUGCUUGAACUAAAAACUGGACCCUAAUGUGUUGCAGAACAACUUGGGUAUUUUGGAAGCACCGUGUAAAAGUAUUAUUAGAAAAGCUUCUCUCAGCCUCCUGAAGUAACCUGCCUCCCAAGCUGCCUUAUUCCUAGGAGAAUCUUCAUCUUCACUUUAUCAUAGCCCAGGGAUCCUGAAGUGGGAUGGAAGAAGGGUAUCUGACCUGGACUGGUGGUCUUGAGACCUUCUGGAAAACUGGAAAGAAGACUUUUUUUUUUUAACUCCAUGGAGACAAAUGGAUUAAUCAGUUCACAGAUUAUCAUUAUGUUUGGUUGAGAGAGGAAGUCUGGUGACAAAAUUGAACGAGACAAAGACAGUAAGUCAGGAGAGAUUCUGAGUGUCGGGGCCAAGUUCUUGCUUUAAAUGCAGAGCGCCUGAAGAAAGUCUGGAACCUCACAGGUGGCUGGUGUUCCUGUUCGAGCUGAGUUGCUGAACAGCAGAAGAGGGUGGCACUUGGAGGUUGGAUGUGGCACACAUGAAAGGACUUGAGAUGAAGAACCAGGAAAGAAAAAUACCAUGUUAUGCCCUUAACCGUAAAAGAAGAGAGGCCAGGUCAUCUGGUAAACGUUGGCCUGUAACACAGUUCAUGGAAGGCUGCUUGGUGCCCAUUCAUCCCCAAGACAUCCACACGUGAGAAUUCACCAGUACAAAGAUGUUUAAGACUUAUUUGAGAAGGAAUCCAGAUGAUGAGUCCAUUUGCAGAGAUUGCUUCCACGAUUCUUGGGACACAUUCCACAACAGGGUUCUGGAUCUUCGUGAAUCAUCCUUUGGUGAUCUUUGGAAAGUCUAAGCUGAUGAAUGUUAUGGAGAGGAGCUUGGCCAACAUUUGCAAGUCAACAAAAUAAAGGGAACCUUUAAUGAAAAUGCGUCUGAAAGUGUCCUAAUCUUGUUUCCUUAUGUCACACCUGUCACAAAAUAAUUUCAUUUCACCCUUAAAAUAACUUUAGGGUGGUAAAUAUUAAUAUUCCAGGUAAAAGGACAAAACUUAUAAAGGUUAAAUUAUUUGCUCAAGGUCACAUUAUUAAGUAGUAAAGAUGAGUAUUUUGCCCUUCAUUAAUAAUAAUACUUGUCUAUGAUGUUAUAAAAAAUUUCAAAGUAGAUACUUCCCCAUCAACUAUCUACUGAUUUGUAGUCAGAGAUCCCUGAAUCACAGAUGAAAUAAUGUGAGGUCAUACAGUUUGUAACUGUCAGAUUCCUAACUCAAUCCAAGGUUUUCUCUACAAUAGCAUGUUGCAUCUGUAUAUGUUUCCCUUUCUAAAACUGUGUACCUCUCUUUAUUCGAUUUCUAUGUAAUUUAUAAUUACACUUACUAAGAAAUGCA